GACGAACGCUGGCGGCGUGCUUAACACAUGCAAGUCGAACGGUAAGGCCCUUCGGGGUACACGAGUGGCGAACGGGUGAGUAACACGUGGGUGAUCUGCCCUGCACUUCGGGAUAAGCCUGGGAAACUGGGUCUAAUACCGGAUAGGACCACUGCCUGCAUGGGUGGUGGUGGAAAGCUUUUGCGGUGUGGGAUGGGCCCGCGGCCUAUCAGCCUGUUGGUGGGGUGAUGGCCUACCAAGGCGACGACGGGUAGCCGGCCUGAGAGGGUGACCGGCCACACUGGGACUGAGAUACGGCCCAGACUCCUACGGGAGGCAGCAGUGGGGAAUAUUGCACAAUGGGCGCAAGCCCGAUGCAGCGACGCCGCGUGAGGGAUGACGGCCUUCGGGUUGUAAACCUCUUUCAGCGCCGACGAAGCGCAAGUGACGGUAGGUGCAGAAGAAGGACCGGCCAACUACGUGCCAGCCGCCGCGGUAA
rnacentral:rRNA from 1 species